AGCCAUGUCCAUGUGCUAGUAAAAGAGAGUCAAUAGCAGCUCUAUUUUGUAAAGUGGCAUGUUUCACUGCUUCUUCAUCUGCUUUCCUAUUUCAUCUUCCCCAACAUCAGUGAAAUGUGAAAUUUUGAUUAAUGAAAUAAAACCUUAUAUUAAUUUUGCCAA